rnacentral:rRNA from 1 species
GUGGGGAAUUUUGGACAAUGGGCGCAAGCCUGAUCCAGCAAUGCCGCGUGCAGGAAGAAGGCCUUCGGGUUGUAAACUGCUUUUGUACGGAACGAAACGGUCCUGGUUAAUACCUGGGGCUAAUGACGGUACCGUAAGAAUAAGCACCGGCUAACUACGUGCCAGCAGCCGCGGUAAUACGUAGGGUGCGAGCGUUAAUCGGAAUUACUUGGCGUAAAGCGUGCGCAGGCGGUGCUGUAAGACAGGCGUGAAAUCCCCGGGCGCAACCUGGGAAUUGCGAUUGUGACUGCAGUGCUGGAGUACGGCAGAGGGGGAUGGAAUUCCGCGUGUAGCAGUGAAAUGCGUAGAUAUGCGGAGGAACACCGAUGGCGAAGGCAGUCCCCUGGGCCUGUACUGACGCUCAUGUACGAAAGCGUGGGGAGCAAACAGGAUUAGAUACCCGGGUAGUCC